ACGGAAGGCAGCAGUGGGGAAUAUUGCACAAUGGGCGUAAGCCUGAUGCAGCGAUGCCGCGUGAGGGAAGAAGGUUUUCGGAUUGUAAACCUCUGUCAACAGGGACGAAAAUGACGGUACCUGUGAAGGAAGCUCCGGCUAACUACGUGCCAGCAGCCGCGGUAAUACGUAGGGAGCAAGCGUUAUCCGGAAUUACUGGGUGUAAAGGGAGUGUAGGCGGGACUGUAAGUCAGAUGUGAGAUAUGCCGGCUCAACUGGCAGACUGCAUUUGAAACUGCGGUUCUUGAGUAAAGUAGAGGUAAGCGGAAUUCCUAGUGUAGCGGUGAAAUGCGUAGAUAUUAGGAGGAACAUCAGUGGCGAAGGCGGCUUACUGGGCUUUAACUGACGCUGAGGCUCGAAAGCGUGGGGAGCAAACAGGAUUAGAUACCCUGGUA
rnacentral:rRNA from 1 species